CAGGAAGUGACAGACAGUUCUUCUGUUGUGUCAGAUCCUGUUCAAUAUAAAUACUUGCAAUGUUGUUAAAGUAGACAUAUCACAUUGAUUGCGUUUGAACAACUUCUUCACGCACAUCCUUGAAAUGCUGACUUGCACCACGAAUGCUGUCUUCCCACAACGGCGACUGAUGAGGUUUUCUUAAAACAAACACCAUUAAUGAAGCAGUGCGCUGACAUCUGCAGGAAACCAACAACUAAAUGAAUGCGAGAAGCAACAUCCCAUCUCAGCCUUCCCACGCUACUGAAUCCUCCCACCACCAGUCAGUGUUGUCAAGGCGAUAUACAGUUGAUGUGCUGUAAAUUGAUUUCCGGGGAGAUGUGAUGGAUGAAUGGAAAAUGAACAUCUUCAUCAGUGACCUCUCCGCGCCGUCGUCUCAUUGCUUCUCCUCACGCCCGCCCAUGAUUGACAAGCGCGCUAACGAGCGCUGUCGCCGGUCCUGUUCUUAUUUCCCUGUGUGGGAAACACGGCGAGUCUCCGGCCCUACGGUAAUGAGCCCUACAAAGAGAAGGAGAGGACAGGAAGGAAGACUCGCCCUGAAGAGAUGGAAGACGGAAUGAAAGAAGUCCAAGUAAAUAAUAUAGAAAGGGCCAACA